CACGAAGUUAGCCGGGGCUUAUUCUCCAGGUACCGUCAUUAUCGUCCCUGGCAAAAGAGCUUUACAAUCCGAAGACCUUCGUCACUCACGCGGCAUGGCUGGAUCAGGCUUGCGCCCAUUGUCCAAUAUUCCCCACUGCUGCCUCCCGUAGGAGUCUGGGCCGUGUCUCAGUCCCAGUGUGGCUGGUCAUCCUCUCAGACCAGCUACUGAUCGUCGCCUUGGUGAGCCAUUACCUCACCAACUAGCUAAUCAGACGCGGGCUCAUCUAUCGGCGAUAAAUCCUUUCCCCCGAAGGGCGUAUGCGGUAUUACCCCAAGUUUCCCUGAGCUAUUCCGUACCGAUAGGAAGAUUCCCACGCGUUACUCACCCGUCUGCCACUCUCCUUGCGGAGCGUCCGACUUGCAUGUGUUAGGCCUGCCGCCAGCGUUCGUUCUGAGCCAGGAUCAAACUC
rnacentral:rRNA from 1 species